rnacentral:rRNA from 1 species
UCUUCCGCAAUGGGCGAAAGCCUGACGGAGCAACGCCGCGUGAGUGAAGAAGGUCUUCGGAUCGUAAAACUCUGUUCUUAGGGAAGAACAAAUGUGUAAGUAACUAUGCACGUCUUGACGGUACCUAAUCAGAAAGCCACGGCUAACUACGUGCCAGCGGCCGCGGUAAUACGUAGGUGGCAAGCGAUAUCCGGAAUUAUUGGGCGUACAGCGCGCGUAGGCGGUUUUUUAAGUCUGAUGUGAAAGACCACGGCUCAACCGUGGAGGGUCAUUGGAAACUGGAAAACUUGAGUGCAGAAGAGGAAAGUGGAAUUCCAUGUGUAGCGGUGAAAUGCGCAGGGAUAUGGAGGAACACCAGUGGCGAAGGCGACUUUCUGGUCUGUAACUGACGCUGAUGUGCGAAAGCGUGGGGAUCAAACAGG